AGGCAGCUCUGCCUCCAUCAUCCCCUACCGGCUCCCUCCUGCCCCACCAGGCCGGCACCAGGGACAGCUUCCCGCUCUGUGACAUCACCACCUCUGUGACACAGCUCUGUGAUGUCAUCUACCCUCUGUGAUGUCACCUGCUCAAGAUGGCUGCCACCCCUCCCCUGCCCGGGCCUGGACGCCUGGGGCCCCUYGCCCCUGCCCCAAGAACGAUCCGGAGCGGCCUUACCAAGAGUGCAUUUUAUUCUGUUUUAUGGUUUCUCUUUUUUUUCCUGGGGGAGGGAGGGGCAGGGCUGUUGCUGUAGCCAGGGGGGUCCUUCCCCCCUGCCCUCACACCCCUCCCCCCUGUGGGAGGGGGCAUGACCAGCCCCCCUGUGGGGGCAGGGCCUCCCCUCCCUGCCCCCUCCCCUCCACACAGCGCUCACCUCACAACGGGGCCAAAAGCACAAAAUUAAGAAAAGGAAGGAGGGGGAGGAAAACAAAACAAAAAAAUAAUGCAAACGAAACCAAAAAAUAUAUAUAUAUAUUUAUAGAGAUCCUUUGUCGUGCGUGCUCCACCCCGCCCCCCCCCCGCUGGGGACAGACACCUGUGGGGACAGGCAUGAAUCAUGGAUGCACAUUGGGGAUGUGCGCUGGGGACAUGAACAUGUCAGGGACGCACACUGGGGACACGAGCACAGCACGGACACAUGUUGGGGGCACGUGUCAAGGACACCUGCUGGGGACAUGCACAUGCUAGGGACAUGCAUGAGUAACAGACGCACAUUGAGGACACGUGUGAGAGAUGCCUGUCAGGGACAUGCAGCAGGGUGGGUGCACAGAGGGGACCAAGGGGCUGUGGCAGGGGCCGUGGGGGGGGGCCACGGCUCACCAGCAAGCGGGUCCUCCUCCUCGCUGCUGGUGGAGGGCAGCGGCUCCUCCAGGAUGCCCCGCGAGUCGGCACCCGAGAUGGCGGCAGCCGAGUCCCGGGUGGAUGAGCUCUCCGAGGAGGAGGCGGGCGGCGAGCUGGAGCAGAGGGGGGAAACGGCGUCAGGGGGGGUGCAGGGGGCUGGCCCCACAGUGGGGCCUGGGCGCCCGGGGUGCUCACCUGUCAUCAGGUGGGCGGGUGGCAUCAGGGGGUGCUGGGGGGGUGGCCAGGGGGGGUCCCGGUGGCAUCCCAGCCCCCUCGGCGGCAGCGGCGGCCUCCUCCAGGGCGCAGGAGGCCAUGCUGGACGUGUCCAUGGGGGAGCCCUCCAGCUGGCUGCUCCCUGCUGUCAGUGCGUCCGAAUCCUCCGCACGCUCCGGCGACAGCGAGGCUGCGAGUGGCACCGGCUGUCAGUGGCUGCCCCCAGCAUCUUCCCCCCUCCUGCCCCCCCCCGCCACGGCGGGGCCCAGGCAUCCAGCACUCACUGACGGUGGGGGCGGGCGGGUGCUGGAGGAGCCGGCGCCCAGCGUCAGCGAGCCAUGGUCAGCGUGGCGCACCAGCAGCGGGUGGGUGGCUGGGAUGUUCCCAGGUGACGGCGGGAUAUCGGCUGCAGGGAGAGGCGGGGCGUCGGGGUUUGCCRGCAGCCCAGCCCCUUCCUGCCCACCGCAGGGAAGCGGUGCCUGGCCCCCGGGACCCCCCCUGCCAUACUGGGGCUGGAGAACAUGUUGUCGAACUCGAUGAUGAGGUCGUCGUCACGGUCGAAGCGCUCGAAGCGCACAAGGGGCGAUGCGUUCAUGUCCGGGUAGUCCUCGUCCAGCUCCAUCUCUGAGCCGUCAUCAUCAUCCUCCUCCUCCUCGCCUUCCUCGCCCUCCUCGUCAUCCUGUGGGAGACGGCGGGGGGGCAUCAGCCAGGCAUCCUGGUGGGGGGACGACCCUGGUCCCCCAGCCCCCAUCCUUGCCUGGUCAUCCUCGUCCUCCUCCUCUUCCUCUUCCUCCUCAUCCUGGCUGUCGUCCUCGUCCUCGUUGCUGCCGCUGCUGUCCUCCUCCUGCGUGUGCUCCUCCUCGUCCUCGGGGUCCAGGAUGUUCAUCGAGUCUGGGGGGGUGGCGGGGAGGUGGGCUGGGACCCUGGCACCCAGCGCGGGAUGGCCACACGCCAAGGCCCCCGCCGCCCGCUCACCUUCCCGGUUGGCCUGCAGCGUGGAGGCCUGGCUGAGAUUGGACGGAGCCUCAUCCAUGAGCACGUCCUCCUGCGACUCGUCCUCGCCCGAGCGGCUCACUGCGGAGGGGGGCAGGUGGUGAG
ensembl:lncRNA